rnacentral:lncRNA from 1 species
UUCCUGUCCUAGUUCAAUAUUCUAAUUUGAUAAUCUGGCGAUUAAACGAUGGUAGAUUAAGCCUGUGUCUUAUGACGCAUGAGUCAUUCUAAAGAAAAAAGGGUUCUCAAAAUACCUUGGGAGAAAAUGUUAACAGUCAUUAAUUCUGGGUGCCUAGAACCUGGGUAUAUGUUAUAUUAUUAAUUGCAUUGUUCUACGUUUUUAAUUUUUUUAAAAAAACCAACCAACCUUGAGAUUAGGGGUUCCCAGUGUUCUUGUAAGGAGGAACUGGUCUUGGUUUCCCUGAAUCCGGAAGACUUAAAGGAUUGAGACAAUGGAGUUCUUAGAGGGAACUGUCCAGGGGAUUAUGGGAAAUACUUCGGAGAAGAGGCACCCAAGCAUCAACCAUCUUGGAACUCUGCCAACUAGAACCUCGGCCUCAACUGACACAUCCAAACUAAUGGCUGAGUGUCUCUUUUAGCAGCAUCAAGCAACUCCUUUACAAUACCACCCAAAGUAAUUUUCCUGAAGAAAUUCUCCUUGUAUCUAACUUCAUUCAGGUUCUUGGGGCUUGCCAAAUAGCCAGCAAUGUGACCUUAACUUGGUCAGUUGACCUCUCUGGUCUCAAGUUUCCUAAUCUGCAACAUUUGAAGGUUUAUUUUCUAAAUGUUUUCACUUUAGUACUAAUUUCUGUGAGACAAUCAAGCUAUUCAAUGUUAGGCUGAGGUAUGUAAAUCAUUCCUGCCAGCCUUUGUGCGAGGUGGUUCUGGUAUCACUGUGGCCCAGCAUGUGUCUGUCUAUCAGCGUUGGCAGGAAGCACAGAUCAAGGUUCCCGUGACCUGCAGCAAUUGGAUUACAAGAUUAGAUCAAUUUGCAAAGUACACCAAGAUCACAGCAGUUGCCAUCUAUUAGCCACUGAGACAAGUGAAGUGACCUGCCAACACUGUAGACUGAAUAACCAGGGAAGGCUGAGGAAUGCAAGUGAAUGUAAAAACCACCUGGAGGGAAGCAUUGCAGCAAGAAAGGAACAGCAAGUGCAGAGGCCUGAGGCAGAACCAGCAGGGAAAAUGCUUUGAGGUUCCAUGAAAACCUGGAUGAAAUAUUCCUGAGGACCAUCCAACACCAUUUCCCUGAGAGACAAGCUGUAAGUGCUGUUCUAGUUACAGAUCCGAGUCCCUGGUACACUGAUAUCAAGUAAGGGUGCAUGCAGCUCAGAAGGCAGUUUCCAUUACACUGGACAAGAGUGUGGCUGCCUGCGUCCUAGAAUUACAGUGGCUUCUGCUGACAAUGUGAGGAGUAGCUGCCCUGUCCAGAGUGUGGCCCCGCACGCUGCCCCCUCCCCUGGAGGGACUGGAGAGAACAGCUUGGAGCAUGCCCUUCCUUUUCCCUUAUCUCGCCCGCUAUGCUAAUGCUGCUCAUCCCUCAAGAUCUGAGUUAUUCCUCCUCAAUUCAAUACACACCAGUCAACUGCCCUGUGCUUGGUCCUGUACUUUAUAUCCUUGACAUGGUUUAGUUUUCAAAACAAAACACCUUGAGGGGGAU